rnacentral:rRNA from 1 species
AGGAGAGUUUAUUCCUGGUUCAGGAUGAACGCUGGACGGCGUGCUUAACACAUGCAAGUCGAACGAAGCACCUCUAAUCGAAGAUUGAGAAAGCUUGCUUUUGAUUGAUUCACCUUGAGGUGACUGAGUGGCGGACGGGUGAGUAACGCGUGGGUAACCUACCCUAUACAGGGGGAUAACAGUUGGAAACGACUGCUAAUACCGCAUAAGCGCACAGGACCGCAUGGUCUAGUGUGAAAAACUCCGGUGGUAUAGGAUGGACCCGCGUCUGAUUAGCUAGUUGGUGAGGUAACGGCUCACCAAGGCGACGAUCAGUAGCCGACCUGAGAGGGUGACCGGCCACAUUGGGACUGAGACACGGCCCAAACUCCUACGGGAGGCAGCAGUGGGGAAUAUUGCACAAUGGGCGAAAGCCUGAUGCAGCGACGCCGCGUGAACGAAGAAGUAUUUCGGUAUGUAAAGUUCUAUCAGCAGGGAAGAAAAAUGACGGUACCUGACUAAGAAGCUCCGGCUAAAUACGUGCCAGCAGCCGCUGUAAUACGUAUGGAGCAAGCGUUAUCCGGAUUUACUGGGUGUAAAGGGAGCGUAGGCGGUGGUUUAAGUCUGAUGUGAAAGCCCGGGGCUCAACUCCGGUAUUGCAUUGGAAACUGAAUCACUAGAGUGUCGGAGGGGUAAGUGGAAUUCCUAGUGUAGCGGUGAAAUGCGUAGAUAUUAGGAGGAACACCAGUGGCGAAGGCGGCUUACUGGACGAUUACUGACGCUGAGGCUCGAAAGCGUGGGGAGCAAACAGGAUUAGAUACCCUGGUAGUCCCCU